UACGAAGGGGGCUAGCGUUGCUCGGAAUCACUGGGCGUAGAGCGCACGUAGGCGGCUUGUUAAGUCAGGGGUGAAAUCCUGGAGCUCAACUCCAGAACUGCCUUUGAUACUGGCGAGCUUGAGUUCGGGAGAGGUGAGUGGAACUGCGAGUGUAGAGGUGAAAUUCGUAGAUAUUCGCAAGAACACCAGUGGCGAAGGCGGCUCACUGGCCCGAUACUGACGCUGAGGUGCGAAAGCGUGGGGAGCAAACAGG
rnacentral:rRNA from 1 species